ensembl:lncRNA
GGAACAUUUGAGACCAUGAAGUGACUGAAUGCACACUAGUUACACAUUUUGUUUUGCCCAAACAUGUAUCUGAAGGGACAGGUUUAGGGCCGGUAAAAAGAGACCUUAAAAAACAGGGAAUUGGCAGUGAUUUCUGCUCACAUAGAAAGUGAUAUGUCUUGGGUCUUCUGCUAUAAUAUUUUAAAAAAGAAAUAUCUAUUGCUUUCCAUAUGGAAUGGUGUAGUAUCACUAUUUACUGAGUUUAUUUUCACUAUCAAAUUUAAGAUUCUAGCCCAUUUCUGGCAGUUGCAACUUUUUUUCUUGCAUAUCCUGAUAAUAAUUGUUGGAAGGUGACUUAUCAUACUAUAGUUACAGGUGGACACACUCAGGGGCCUCCCAAUUAAAAAAAAAAGAUCAGCGCUAGUCUCAGCUGCCACUUUACUUCUGACUUAGAUUGAGGAAGCUCAUUGGCUCCAGCCUGACAAAUCGUGUCCAGCCUCCAACUCUAACCAGUCAUGUUCUCUCACCUUCUACUUAAGCAAGACUUACCCAGCCUAUCUGGUCUUUCUGCUGCUGAUUGAAGGGAAGGUUGACCUUGAGGCCUUAGAGUCCUGGAGACGUCUAAGCUGGUUUCUCUUUUCUUUCAAUGCAUAAUUCUCUCUGCUCUUCUGCUUCUGCCUCCUUUGAGAGGGAAUUUCCCACUGCUUUGCUGUGGGAAAGACAGGCAAAAUGAAGAUGGCACCUAUAUUCAGUCUCCUUUCCUUUCCUUUCCUCUCACUCCUAAUCACAAAAUAUGCCUAAGAGGUCAAGCUUGGAUAAUAAACUGAACAUUCUUUCAUCUCACUAGUGAAAAAGUGAAACUUGGUACUGAGUUGAAGAAACACUUUGGGUUGAUCAAAUACUGGAAACGACCUCUUCAGAAUAAAGAUCCAUAAUCCUAGUAAAUUCUGAAGCUACUGUGUCAUGAAAUGCAGAAGUUCACAAACAUCUGUCAACACUUGCUGAUGAGACUGCUGAAGCAGCAAGGUUAGAUUGUCCUCACCUGCAGCGACCUACCUUUGGAGAAGAGAUCCUGGAUCCAGCGUAACACAAAUGAAGAUUCUUCUGUUUCAGGCUGUGAUGACUCUUGGUAGGAAUAUCUCAGCAUCAUGUGAUUCCUACCACCUGAGAAUGGAGCAAAGCAGCCUCUUUGCCGCCCCAAGCUCAGUGCUCCGUAGACUGAAAAAAAGAUGCAGUCGACAAACAGCUGAGGAGGCUUCAUGAAUGCUGCACACAGCAACUUCAGAGUUCCUCUCUGAACAGGUGGUAAUAGAUGUUAGUAGCCCUCCCAAAAUGCCAAACGUCUUCCCUCCCCUCUGAAGUUAUUAACCGAUUAAACAGGCACAAGCAAACAGAUCAGAAAUAGAGCAUUAGCUUUAUUGCACAAUCAAAUCAUUUUUGUCUCCUGGGAGGAGUAAGACCAAGAGGGACCAGAAAGGUUCAUUUCUGGGAAAUAAGGUAGAAAUCCUCAGGGGGGAAAGAGGAAAAGACAAUAUGGAAUAAGGGUCUUUUCCUGCUCUUGUGUCCCAAGCUCUGAAUUCUUCUUAACUAUUGAACUUAAUACAAAUUGUAAAUUGGUUAUGGUUCUCCCAGUGGAGGAGAACAGCUUGGUAAUGGGAUAGUCCUACUUAUAUGACAUAUAACUAAUUCUAGACACUAACCACUUACUUCUUAAAUUCAGGCUAGUAAUGAUCCGAAUUGUUCCUUUACAUUGCUUUGAGGGCCUUUUAGGAACAAAGAAACCAAGCAGCUGACCUAAUGCUGUCUACCUCAGCAUAGCUCUAGAAACUUAAAGUCCCAGAUCUCACACCACUGACUUCUAGACUCAUGAAAUUUAGUUGAUCUUUUUUUUUCCGGUUAAACCCUGAAAAUGCAAUCCUGACUUAGAAGUGGUAAAAAGAAACCUAAGCUCUCUUGGCAAAAAUUAUUCCAUUCACCAAUUCCCAGAAAAGCCUGUAUUGAGGUCUCUAGGCUCCUAGUCUCCAUGUGAGACUCAAAGCCUUAGAAUAGUAUGGCUGCUCAUUCAAAGGACUGAAGGAGGGCUUCUGACCCCAGGAAGAACUUUUCUUCUGUUUUCUCCAGAUUGUCUUAAGGGUAAUUUCUCCCCUUGCUUAUACUCCAGCUUCAACCCC